rnacentral:rRNA from 1 species
AGAACGAACGCUGGCGGCGUGGAUAAGACAUGCAAGUCGAACGAGAGAAUUGCUAGCUUGCUAAUAAUUCUCUAGUGGCGCACGGGUGAGUAACACGUGAGUAACCUGCCCCCGAGAGCGGGAUAGCCCUGGGAAACUGGGAUUAAUACCGCAUAGUAUCGAAAGAUUAAAGCAGCAAUGCGCUUGGGGAUGGGCUCGCGGCCUAUUAGUUAGUUGGUGAGGUAACGGCUCACCAAGGCGAUGACGGGUAGCCGGUCUGAGAGGAUGUCCGGCCACACUGGAACUGAGACACGGUCCAGACACCUACGGGUGGCAGCAGUCGAGAAUCAUUCACAAUGGGGGAAACCCUGAUGGUGCGACGCCGCGUGGGGGAAUGAAGGUCUUCGGAUUGUAAACCCCUGUCAUGUGGGAGCAAAUUAAAAAGAUGGUACCACAAGAGGAAGAGACGGCUAACUCUGUGCCAGCAGCCGCGGUAAUACAGAGGUCUCAAGCGUUGUUCGGAAUCACUGGGCGUAAAGCGUGCGUAGGCUGUUUCGUAAGUCGUGUGUGAAAGGCGCGGGCUCAACCCGCGGACGGCACAUGAUACUGCGAGACUAGAGUAAUGGAGGGGGAACCGGAAUUCUCGGUGUAGCAGUGAAAUGCGUAGAUAUCGAGAGGAACACUCGUGGCGAAGGCGGGUUCCUGGACAUUAACUGACGCUGAGGCACGAAGGCCAGGGGAGCGAAAGGGAUUAGAUACCCCUGUAGUCCUGGCAGUAAACGGUGCACGCUUGGUGUGCGGGGAAUCGACCCCCUGCGUGCCGGAGCUAACGCGUUAAGCGUGCCGCCUGGGGAGUACGGUCGCAAGAUUAAAACUCAAAGAAAUUGACGGGGACCCGCACAAGCGGUGGAGUAUGUGGCUUAAUUCGAUGCAACGCGAAGAACCUUACCUGGGCUUGACAUGUAAUGAACAACAUGUGAAAGCAUGCGACUCUUCGGAGGCGUUACACAGGUGCUGCAUGGCCGUCGUCAGCUCGUGUCGUGAGAUGUUUGGUUAAGUCCAGCAACGAGCGCAACCCCUGUUGCCAGUUACCAGCACGUGAAGGUGGGGACUCUGGCGAGACUGCCCAGAUCAACUGGGAGGAAGGUGGGGACGACGUCAGGUCAGUAUGGCCCUUAUGCCCAGGGCUGCACACGUACUACAAUGCCCAGUACAGAGGGGGCCGAAGCCGCGAGGCGGAGGAAAUCCUGAAAACUGGGCCCAGUUCGGACUGUAGGCUGCAACCCGCCUACACGAAGCCGGAAUCGCUAGUAAUGGCGCAUCAGCUACGGCGCCGUGAAUACGUUCCCGGGUCUUGUACACACCGCCCGUCACAUCAUGGAAGCCGGUCGCACCCGAAGUAUCUGAAGCCAACCGCAAGGAGGCAGGGUCCUAAGGUGAGAC